AGAGUUUGAUCAUGGCUCAGGAUGAACGCUAGCGGCAGGCCUAAUACAUGCAAGUCGAACGCUCAGUAGCAAUACUGGGAGUGGCGCACGGGUGCGUAACGCGUACACAAUCUACCUCUAAGCGGGGGACACCUCCUGGAAACGGGGAUUAAUACCGCAUAAUAUGCCGAAGUCGCAUGACUUUGGUAUUAAAGCAGCAAUGCACUUAGAGAUGAGUGUGCGUCCCAUUAGGUAGUUGGUGAGGUAACGGCUCACCAAGCCUAUGAUGGGUAGCCGGUCUGAGAGGAUGGUCGGCCACACGGGCACUGAGACACGGGCCCGACUCCUGCGGGAGGCAGCAGUAAGGAAUAUUGGUCAAUGGUGGAAACACUGAACCAGCCAUGCCGCGUGGAGGAAUAAGGUCCUACGGAUUGUAAACUCCUUUUGACGAGGAAGAAAAUGUUAGAUUUAUCUAAUUUUGACGGUACUCGUAGAAUAAGCACCGGCUAACUCCGUG
rnacentral:rRNA from 1 species